rnacentral:rRNA from 1 species
UACGUAGGUCCCGAGCGUUGUCCGGAUUUAUUGGGCGUAAAGCGAGCGCAGGUGGUUUAUUAAGUCUGGUGUAAAAGGCAGUGGCUCAACCAUUGUAUGCAUUGGAAACUGGUAGACUUGAGUGCAGGAGAGGAGAGUGGAAUUCCAUGUGUAGCGGUGAAAUGCGUAGAUAUAUGGAGGAACACCGGUGGCGAAAGCGGCUCUCUGGCCUGUAACUGACGCUGAGGCACGAAAGCGUGGGGAUCAAACAGG